GACGAACGCUGGCGGCGUGCCUAAUACAUGCAAGUCGAACGCUGAAGGAGGAGCUUGCUUCUCUGGAUGAGUUGCGAACGGGUGAGUAACGCGUAGGUAACCUGCCUGGUAGCGGGGGAUAACUAUUGGAAACGAUAGCUAAUACCGCAUAAGAGUAGAUGUCGCAUGACAUUUGCUUAAAAGGUGCAAUUGCAUCACUACCAGAUGGACCUGCGUUGUAUUAGCUAGUUGGUGAGGUAACGGCUCACCAAGGCAACGAUACAUAGCCGACCUGAGAGGGGGAUCGGCCACACUGGGACUGAGACACGGCCCAGACUCCUACGGGAGGCAGCAGUAGGGAAUCUUCGGCAAUGGACGGAAGUCUGACCGAGCAACGCCGCGUGAGUGAAGAAGGGUUUCGGAUCGUAAAGCUCUGUUGUAAGAGAAGAACGAGUGUGAGAGUGGAAAGUUCACACUGUGACGGUAUCUUACCAGAAAGGGACGGCUAACUACGUG
rnacentral:rRNA from 1 species